UCUUUCUUGUGUGAUAACAUGCAUGUUUAAUUGUCAUUCUGAUUUUGCAUUGAUUCUUUGUUGAUGUGCUUACUCUUGAUAUAGUUUAAAUAUGAUAUAGGCAUUCUUCAUUUUUAGCAAUAGCCAAUUUAGCUUACCCAUUUCUUUCUUACCAUUGUACCUUCUUUUGAGUUUAGCCUAUUUUCUUGUUCCAUUAAUUUCAAGCCAUUUCCCUAACUAUUACAUAACCUUAGAGAUUUGUGAGAAGUAGGGAGAGUCUAGAACUUGG
rnacentral:lncRNA from 1 species